AUACUGUCCGCUCUUGGUGUUUUCUUGCGUUUAGAAGGUGGUCUUCUUGGACCAAACUCUUCCCCUGUAUCAAUUCUUUUUCUUACUUGCAUUACGGUUUGGUUGUUGACCAAUGGUUUAUA
rnacentral:lncRNA from 1 species